rnacentral:rRNA from 1 species
UACGAAGGGGGCUAGCGUUGUUCGGAUUUACUGGGCGUAAAGCGUGCGCAGGCGGUUCGUUGUGUCGGCGGUGAAAGCCCCGGGCUCAACCUGGGAAUGGCCGUUGAAACUGGCGAACUGGAGUGUGGCAGAGGGGGGUGGAAUUCCGCGUGUAGCAGUGAAAUGCGUAGAGAUGCGGAGGAACACCGAUGGCGAAGGCAGCCCCCUGGGCUGACACUGACGCUCAGGCACGAAAGCGUGGGGAGCAAACAGG